UACGAAGGGGGCUAGCGUUGCUCGGAAUCACUGGGCGUAAAGGGUGCGUAGGCGGGUCUUUAAGUCAGGGGUGAAAAUCCUGGAGGCUCAACUCCAGAACUGCCUUUGAUACUGAGGAUCUUGAGUUCGGGAAGAGGUGAGUGGAACUGCGAGUGUAGAGGUGAAAUUCGUAGAUAUUCGCAAGAACACCAGUGGCGAAGGCGGCUCACUGGCCCGAUACUGACGCUGAGGCACGAAAGCGUGGGGAGCAAACAGGG
rnacentral:rRNA from 1 species